CCUACGGGAGGCAGCAGUGGGGAAUAUUGGACAAUGGGGGCAACCCUGAUCCAGCAAUACCGCGUGUGUGAAGAAGGCCUGCGGGUUGUAAAGCACUUUCAAUUGUGAAGAAAAGAUUAAGGUUAAUAACCUUAGUCCUUGACGUUAACUUUAGAAGAAGCACCGGUA
rnacentral:rRNA from 1 species